rnacentral:pre_miRNA from 1 species
AGAAAGGUCUCCUAGGGAUCCUGUUAAAAUGCAGAUUCUGAUUUAGUAGGGUGGGAUGGGGCCCAAUAUUCUGCAUUUCUAACAAGCUCCCAGGCGAUGGGGAU